rnacentral:rRNA from 1 species
UGUUGAUUCUAUGGGUGGUGGUGCAUGACCGUUGUUAGUUGGUGGAGUGAUUCGUUUGGCUAAUUCCGUUAACGAACGAGACCUUAGCGUACUAAAUAGUCGCAACAAUGCCAAUUGUUUGCGGCUUCUUAGAGGGACUUUGCGAGCAACCGCAAGGAAGUUUGAGGCAAUAACAGGUCUGUGAUGCCCUUAGAUGUCCUGGGCCGCACGCGUGCUACACUGACACAUACAGCGAGUAUCACCAGCUCCGUGAGGCAGCUGGUAAUCAGCAAUAUGUGUCGUGCUGGGGAUAGAUCUUUGGAAUUUUUGAUCUUGAACGAGGAAUGCCUAGUAAGCGCAAGUCAUCAGCUUGCGUUGAUUAAGUCCCUGCCCUUUGUACACACCGCCCGUCGCUCCUACCGAUUUCGAGUGGUCCGGUGAACCCUUUGGACCGAGAGCGUCUCGUGCGCUUUUGGAAAGUCGAGUAAACCACAUCACUAGAGAAGAAAAGUCGAGCAUGC